ACACUGGGACUGAGACACGGCCCAGACUCCUGCGGGAGGCAGCAGUGGGGAAUUUUCCGCAAUGGGCGAAAGCCUGACGGAGCAAUACCGCGUGAGGGAGGAAGGCCUUUGGGUUGUAAACCUCUUUUCUCAGGGAAGAAGAACUGACGGUACCUGAGGAAUAAGCAUCGGCUAACUCCGUGCCAGCAGCCGCGGUAAUACGGAGGAUGCAAGCGUUAUCCGGAAUCAUUGGGCGUAAAGCGUCCGCAGGUGGUUUUUCAAGUCUGCUGUUAAAGACUGGAGCUCAACUCCGGAAAGGCAGUGGAAACUGAGAAACUAGAGUUCGGUAGGGGUAGCGGGAAUUCCCAGUGUAGCGGUGAAAUGCGUAGAUAUUGGGAAGAACAUCGGUGGCGAAGGCGCGCUACUGGACCGAAACUGACACUCAGGGACGAAAGCUAGGGGAGCGAAAGGGAUUAGAUACCCCUGUAGUCCUAGCUGUAAACGAUGGAAACUAGGUGUGGCUUGUAUCGACCCGAGCCGUGCCGUAGCUAACGCGUUAAGUUUCCCGCCUGGGGAGUACGCACGCAAGUGUGAAACUCAAAGGAAUUGACGGGGGCCCGCACAAGCGGUGGAGUAUGUGGUUUAAUUCGAUGCAACGCGAAGAACCUUACCAGGGCUUGACAUGUCGCGAAUCUCCUUGAAAGGGGAGAGUGCCUUCGGGAGCGCGAACACAGGUGGUGCAUGGCUGUCGUCAGCUCGUGUCGUGAGAUGUUGGGUUAAGUCCCGCAACGAGCGCAACCCUCGUCUUUAGUUGCCAGCAUUAAGGUGGGCACUUUAGAGAGACUGCCGGUGACAAACCGGAGGAAGGUGGGGAUGACGUCAAGUCAGCAUGCCCCUUACGCCCUGGGCUACACACGUACUACAAUGGUUGGGACAAAGGGCAGCGACCCCGCGAGGGAAAGCGAAUCUCAUCAAACCCAGCCUCAGUUCAGAUUGCAGGCUGCAACUCGCCUGCAUGAAGGAGGAAUCGCUAGUAAUCGCAGGUCAGCAUACUGCGGUGAAUUCGUUCCCGGGCCUUGUACACACCGCCCGUCACACCAUGGAAGCUGGUCACGCCCGAAGUAGUUACCCUAACCUUUCGGGGGGGGGACUCCUAAGGCAGGGCUAGUGACUGGGGUGAAGUCGUAACAAGGUAGCCGUAUCGGAAGGUGUGGCUG
rnacentral:rRNA from 1 species